AGCAGCCGCGGUAAUUCCAGCUCCAAUAGCGUAUAUUAAAGUUGUUGCAGUUAAAAAGCUCGUAGUUGAAUUUCGGGGUUAGUAGGUUGGUCAUGCCUCUGGUAUGUACUGGUCUCACUGAUUCCUCCUUCCUGAUGAGCCGUAAUGCCAUUAAUUUGGUGUUGCGGGGAAUUUGGACUGUUACUUUGAAAAAAUUAGAGUGUUUAAAGCAAGCUAACGCUUGAAUACAUUAGCAUGGAAUAAUGAAAUAGGACGUUCGAUCCUAUUUUGUUGGUUUCUAGGAUUGACGUAAUGAUUAAUAGGGAUAGUUGGGGGCAUUAGUAUUCAAUUGUCAGAGGUGAAAUUCUUGGGUUUAUUGAAGACUAACUACUGCGAAAGCAUUUGCCAAGGAUGUUUUCAUUAAUCAAGAACGAAAGUUAGGGGAUCGAAGACGAUCAGAUACCGUCGUAG
rnacentral:rRNA from 1 species